UACGAAGGGGGCUAGCGUUGUUCGGAAUCACUGGGCGUAAAGCGCACGUAGGCGGACUUCUAAGUCAGGGGUGAAAUCCCGGGGCUCAACCUCGGAACUGCCUUUGAUACUGGAAGUCUCGAGUCCGGAAGAGGUGGGUGGAAUUCCUAGUGUAGAGGUGAAAUUCGUAGAUAUUAGGAAGAACACCGGUGGCGAAGGCGACCCACUGGUCCGGUACUGACGCUGAGGUGCGAAAGCGUGGGGAGCAAACAGG
rnacentral:rRNA from 1 species